rnacentral:rRNA from 1 species
AUUGAACGCUGGCGGCAUGCCUUACACAUGCAAGUCGAACGGCAGCACGGGUGCUUGCCCCUGGUGGCGAGUGGCGAACGGGUGAGUAAUACAUCGGAACAUGUCCUGUAGUGGGGGAUAGCCCGGCGAAAGCCGGAUUAAUACCGCAGACGAUCCACGUAUGAAAGCGGGGGACCUGCGGGCCUCGGGCUUUAGGGUUGGUCGAUGGUUGAUUAGCUAGUUGGUGGGGUAAAGGCCUACCAAGGCGACGAUCAGUAGCUGGUCUGAGAGGACGACCAGCCACACUGGGACUGACACACGGCCCAGACUCCUACGGGAGGCAGCAGUGGGGAAUUUUGGACAAUGGGCGAAAGCCUGAUCCAGCAAUGCCGCGUGUGUGAAGAAGGCCUUCGGGUUGUAAAGCACUUUUGUCCGGAAAGAAAUCCUUGGCUCUAAUACAGUCGGGGGAUGACGGUACCGGAAGAAUAAGCACCGGCUAACUACGUG